GACGAACGCUGGCGGCGCGCUUAACACAUGCAAGUCGAACGGAAAGGCCUGCUUUCCCUUGUGGAUUGCGGGUACUCGAGUGGCGAACGGGUGAGUAACACGUGAGUGAUCUGCCCCCAACUUGGGUAUAAGCCUGGGAAACUGGGUCUAAUUCCCGAUAGGACUGCAGGGUGGUGCCUGUGGUGGAAAACGAUUUUCUAGUGGUUGGGGAUGAGCUCGCGGCCUAUCAGCUUGUUGGUGGGGUAAUGGCCUACCAAGGCGGCGACGGGUAGCCGGCCUGGGAGGGUGGACGGCCACAUUGGGACUGAGAUACGGCCCAGACUCCUACGGGAGGCAGCAGUGGGGAAUAUGGCACAAUGGGCGGAAGCCUGAUGCAGCGACGCCGCGUGGGGGAUGACGGCCUUCGGGUUGUAAACUCCUUUCGGCCGCGAGGAAGCCACCUGGUUGGAAGGGUGGUGACGGUAGUGGUAGAAGAAGCACCGGCUAACUACGUG
rnacentral:rRNA from 1 species